GUGAUACUGAUGUAUCCUUCUAUGAACAAGGUGGUGAUACUGAGGUAUCCUUCUAUGAACAAGAUGGUGAUACUGAUGUAUCCUUCUAUGAACAAGGUUGUGAUACUGAUGUAUCCGUCUAUGAACAAGGUGGUGAUACUGAUGUAUCCUUCUAUGAACAAGGUGGUGAUACUGAUGUAUCC